rnacentral:rRNA from 1 species
GACGAACGCUGGCGGCGUGCCUAAUACAUGCAAGUCGAGCGCAGGAAAUCAUCCGAACCCUUCGGGGGGACGUUGAUGGAAUGAGCGGCGGACGGGUGAGUAACACGUAAAGAACCUGCCCUCAGGUCUGGGAUAACCACGAGAAAUCGGGGCUAAUACCGGAUGGGUCAUCGGACCGCAUGGUCCAAGGAUGAAAGGCGCUUCGGCGUCGCCUGGGGAUGGCUUUGCGGUGCAUUAGCUAGUUGGUGGGGUAAUGGCCCACCAAGGCGACGAUGCAUAGCCGACCUGAGAGGGUGAGCGGCCACCCUGGGACUGAGACACGGCCCAGACUCCUACGGGAGGCAGCAGUAGGGAAUCUUCCACAAUGGACGAAAGUCUGAUGGAGCAACGCCGCGUGAACGAUGAAGGCCUUCGGGUCGUAAAGUUCUGUUGUAAGGGAAGAACAAGUGCCGCAGGCAAUGGCGGCACCUUGACGGUACCUUGCGAGAAAGCCACGGCUAACUACGUGCCAGCAGCCGCCGUAA